UCUUUGCAUCCUUGAUUCUGCCCAUGUCUGGAUCCAGAGGCUGCCAGGUGCUCGGGCGCUCAUGCGGCUGACCCAGAGGCUAUUGGGAGGCCAGUGAGGACAGAUUCAGGAAGAGCAUCUCAUUCUGAUCACUUCAGAUAGGGUCUGGCACCCAGUCAGAGUCUAAUAAAUGCUGAUGUAUCCAAUUGAAGCCUGGGCACUGCCCCAGUUUUAGUUGUGGGGAAGAUGGCUGCUUGCCCGUGGCCAGCCUGGGCCGUCCACAGCCCUGGGGAGGCCACGUCUGUGCAGGGAGCUUUUGUCUGAGGGUGGUGACAGCUGUUUUCUGCCUCAGGAGAAACUGAAGCCAAAAUGCUUGGAGGAACUCCCUGAAAAGCUAAAGCUCUACUCAGAGUUUCUGGGGAAGCAGCCAUGGUUUGCAGGAGACAAGAUCACCUUUGUGGAUUUCCUUGCCUACGAUGUCCUUGACAUGAAGCGUAUAUUUGAGCCCAAGUGCUUGGAUGCCUUCCUAAACUUGAAGGACUUCAUCUCCCGCUUUGAGGGUUUGAAGAAGAUCUCUGCCUACAUGAAGUCCAGCCAAUUCUUCCGAGGUCUUUUGUUUGGAAAGUCAGCUACAUGGAACAGCAAAUAGGGCCCCGUGAUGCCAGAAGAUGGGAGGGAGGAGCCAACCUUGCUGCCUGCGACCCUGGAGGACAGCCUGACUCCCUGGACCUGCCUUCUUCCUUUUUCCUUCUUUCUACUCUCUUCUCUUCCCCAAGGCCUCAUUGGCUUCCUUUCUUCUAACAUCAUCCCUCCCUGCAUCGAGGCUCUUUAAAGCUUCAGCUCCCCACUGUCCU
rnacentral:sRNA from 1 species